UGAAAGGUACUCUUAUAUUUCUUGACUCGUAACAUUUUCACAGCUGCAUGUGUAUUGCGCGAUGCAGAACAUGACUUCAUUUGAAUAUUCAGAAAUUCAAAGUGACCAGUUUUAAACGGAUACUUGAUACUCAUUUGACAGGAAGACAAUUUUCACCAAUCGAGUAAUAAUCUCAUUCACGGUUGACGUCAAGUAGGAGGAUACGUAGUAUAAGAGUGAAGAGUGACUAGACUAGGAUUUUAUUACAUUAUUCGUGCAGAACUGUAGAAAACUAUUCAGAACACCGAAAGCUGAAUGAAAACAAUUGCAUUGGUGACUAACAAUUGGAACAUCAAUCAGUUUCUGGAUCUCUAAGUGAAGUGGAAUAUGUCGAAAG